ACUGAUUCUUGGUGUACUACAUCUCCUUAUGCAUUCAUCUGAGUACAGAAUCUGUGUACGUAGUACCAUGAUUACCUAAAAUAUGUGGCAUGCUGCCCUUGGCCUCUGUUUACCUCAGGCUUGAGAGUGGAUUCUGGGUGCUGGGAUGUCAGCCCUGGCAUUGUGUGUACUGCAGAGACAAGACCACGCAUUAGAAACAGGCAAGUUCUGUGUGAGAAGGGCUGGCCCACGUGAGUGCAGACCCUCCGGGAGCAGCAGAGUAAGAACGCAUUUGUCUGCUACUGGAAGUUCGUCCAUUCCCAGAGCCAUACCGCCACCCCCCACCCCCCGUGGACCUCCUCUAUGGCAGACAGCACUGGACACGCUGCCUUCUGCCCAGCUGGUGGGCUCAGCGCUCGCUCCAUUGGCAUCUGGUUGGCCUGUGAGACCAGCUGCUGCAGAUCACAUCAGUGUCCCUCUGCCAUGCCACCUGGCGUUGGAGCCAGCCA
rnacentral:lncRNA from 1 species